GAUUUCUGGUUGCCCGCGGCCUCUAGGCUUGUGAGUGCCGGCGCGCGUUUACCAUCCUUCUAGAAAACGAUUCUGCCAUUCACUUGGGUUGGGAUCGCGAUCUAGAUCAUUUACUUUGAAAAAAUUAGAGUGUUUAAAGCAGGCUUUUGCUAUGAAUACAUUAGCUGGAAUAAUAAUCUAGGACUUCGGUUCUAUUUUGUUGGUUUCUAUAACUGAAGUAAUGAGAUAGUUGGCCGGCCAGAGGUGAAAUUCUUGGAUUCGGUCAAGACUAACUUAUGCGAAAGCAUU
rnacentral:rRNA from 1 species